AUUGAACGCUGGCGGCAGGCCUAACACAUGCAAGUCGAGCGGAGCGGCGGACGGGUGAGUAAUGCCUAGGAAUCUGCCUGGUAGUGGGGGAUAACGUCCGGAAACGGGCGCUAAUACCGCAUACUAUCAGAUGAGCCUAGGUCGGCUUAGCUAGUUGGUGGGGUAAAGGCCUACCAAGGCGACGAUCCGUAACUGGUCUGAGAGGAUGAUCAGUAACACUGAAACUGAGACACGGUCAAGACUCCUAGGGGAGGCAGCAGUGGGGAAGUGAAGACAAUGGGCGGAAGCAUGAGCAAGCCAUGCAGCGGGUGUGAAGAAGGUCGUCGGAUUGUAAAGCACUUGAAGUUGGGAGGCGUUACCAACAGAAUAAGCACCGGCUAACUUCGUGCCAGCAGCCGCGGUAAGAC
rnacentral:rRNA from 1 species